CACGUAGGGCGCGAGCGUUGUCCGGAAUUAUUGGGCGUAAAGAGCUCGUAGGCGGCUUGUCACGUCGGGUGUGAAAGCCCGGGGCUUAACCCCGGGUCUGCAUUCGAUACGGGCUGGCUGGAGUGUGGUAGGGGAGAUCGAAUUCCUGGUGUAGCGGUGAAAUGCGCAGAUAUCAGGAGGAACACCGGUGGCGAAGGCGGAUCUCUGGGCCAUUACUGACGCUGAGGAGCGAAAGCGUGGGGAGCGAACAGG
rnacentral:rRNA from 1 species